GGUCGUGAGAUGAUUAAUGGGAGAGGAAAGACUGAAAAACAAAGUUCUGCUGCACAAACUUAUAUUAAUAUGUUUGAACUUUUCUCUAAUCUUGUACAUUGGUUAAUAUGAUUUUUUUGGGAUUCGAAAUAAAUGAAACCAUCUGAAAAGUUAUAGACAUCUGAGACAUGACAAUGGGCCAAACUGGGCUGUUUUAAAUUUUAAUAAAUCUCAUUUUAUGAGCUGAUCAAGUGUUUUUCUUUUUAUAUAAAAUCUUAAUUUAAAAAGUACCUAGUAACUACAGCUGUCAAAUAAAUGUAGUGGAGUACAAAGUGCAAUUUUUCCCCUCUGUAAUGUAGUGAAGUAGAAAGUGGCACAAAAUGUCAAUAAGAAAAAGUACUUAGCUAGCUUUGUUACUUUCCACCACUGAUGUUCAAAGAAUAUGUGUUUACAAGGAAACUUAAUCCUGCAAAAAAAACCCUGCAAAACCCAGUGUGACAGAGGACACAGUAUAUCCAUGUAACGUGAAUUUAGAUUAAUUUAGUUAACCUUUUACCUGUUUUACAUCACUUCACGUCGGUAUCACAUUGAGUUAAUGCUAACGUUAGAUGGCUAAAUAACACGAAUCUAUAAAUAGUUCAUGGGAAAGGGUGUGUGGGGAAAUAAUGCACUUUGUUCUCAUUAAUUUUUGGUCUGUCCCAACUUUCCUGACACAAACUGAUAUUAACGUUAGCGUUAACGGCUAAAUUUCCAAAGCAUCUGGCCAACAAACUUUGCUACGAGCUUGGUUGACUUCAACUUUCUCCCAUUCAAAACAACUGAAAAGGGGAAUUGAGUGGUGCAGUAGUUCACGGCCGCGUAUUCGAUCACAGACAGGAAGACAAACAGGAAGCUGGUCCACAGGUUGUUCCAGAGCCUCAGGGCCCCUUUUCCCCCUCUAGUUUCAAGUCUGGACUGUGGAACUGACAAAUUAUCUCUGCCCGAGCAUGUCGAGCCACUUACAGGCUCAUAUGGGACUAAAAGCUCUGAAAUACAGCGGGGCCACGAAGAGCCUUGAGGGCCAAAAAGGGCUUGGACCGACCCUGAGAGCCCAUAUGAGCAUGAAGGCGUGCAGAGAGGCCCACAGC